CUGGGUGUGGCGCAGUUGGUAGCGCGCUACCUUGGGGUGGUAGAGGCCGCAAGUUCGAGUCUUGUCACUCAGACCA
rnacentral:tRNA from 1 species